GGAAUUGUGGCUCAGUGGUAGAGUGCUCGCCUAGCAUGUGGGAGGCCCUGGGUUUGAUCCUCAGAACCA
rnacentral:tRNA from 1 species